GACCUGUUGGUGCAGUGGUUAGAGCACCCAUAAUAAUUGGUGCAGAUUUCAAUGACAUAUGUGGGCAGUCCCAGUUCGACUCUGGGACAGGUCA